rnacentral:lncRNA from 1 species
UUUUUUUUUGUUUUUGUUCUUCACUGAUAUCUUAUACGUAUUUCAUUGGAUUUAACAUGACAUAGUACUAAUUUAUUUUUAAAUUUUUUUAGUAUGGCUAUUAAUUUUUGUAUUAAGAAUAUUUCGUUCCUAGCAAAAAUUUGCGAAUUUUCAAAAUUUCCCACAUAUUUAGUUAAUUUUUUGACCUUGGUACUGACCAGAAAAUGGCCAGCAAUUCAAAAAAUGGAAAAUGGGAUGCAAUAAAUUCCAUAUGAAUUAGAAAAUGAGUAAAAAUUAUAAAAAUAAUAGCAAAUGGGCUGUACACGUCACAGAUUUCGAGGCUGACUUGUUUACGCAAGGCUUUGUCAGUGAACACACGAUUCUAGCAGCAGUUAGUGUUGGAUGUCCAUCCAACGGCCGACGUGCUUCUUCAAUCUCUGAUCUUCCUGCUCCAGCCGCCUAAACUAGCGCCGGCGGGACUGCCUGCUCCCUCCUCUUGUGGCCCGUUGUGAUGCCGCGCAGGCUUCCCCGGCCCACCCUACUCCCUCCGCUAGCCUGGCCGCACGCAAUCAACUGCCUCCUUAUUACACGAAAAAAAUAAUUCCUCCCACUGACAUCUGGGGUGCACCGGUUGGGAGGCUAACCUGUGGGCCUACUAAGUUGACGUGUACGCAUGGCUUGUCAACUUAGUCAACAAACGAUUCUAGCAGUAGUAACCAUUGGAUUUGAAUCGAACGGUCCUGCUGCUUCUUCAAUCGCUGCUCUUCUUGCACCAGCCGCCCAAACCAGCACCGGGGAGACCGCCUACUCCUGCCUCCAGUGGCCGGUUGUGCUGCCGAUGAGGCCUCAUCGCCCCCUACUACUCCCACCGCUAGUCAGGCCCUGCGGCGACGGCAGCCUCACGCCGCAGCCGAACUAGUGAACAUUCGUACUCCUCUCCGUGUGGGCAUCCACUGUCGCAUCUUCCCCGGCUUCACGUCGUCCCCUUCCUAGGCCUCGCCAUCGUCCACCGCCUUGGUGCUCUCGGCGCGGCAUGGUCAACGUGGUCGACGACAUUCCAUUGGAAGAGUACUGUACGUGGAGAGGAUGACAGCUAGGUCCACGGCCACAGCCCAGUUUUUUGUGAUUUGCCAAGUAAGUCGCACUGUCAGGCCUGUUGGGCUGCAAAUCUUUCAAGACGAGGAGAGCUUUCAUUCGGCUGGCCGAGAAAAUGGCCCAUCAGUAAUGAGAAAUGGGUUGUACAUUUUUAAAACACAUCAAACCGGCAAUUAGUUUCAAAUAUCUUUUCUUCAUUUCGAGAUUUGAAAUUACAUUAAUUUUUAUGUGUGGAGAAUUUGUUGGAUUUUAUAUUGAUAUACAUUUAUUUUUAAAAUCAGUUUGAAUGUGAGUCGAAAUUUCGGGAUUAAAAACAGUUCGGACCGCACCGAAAUAUGCAAAAUUUCGUAUAAUUUUUUAACCGUGGCCACAAUAUGGGCUGUAAUGCUAACAAAAAGAAUAUGGGCUCCAAAAUAACCUUAAUAAUUAGCAAACGGGCUGUAAAUUAUUAGAAAUAAUGGCAGAUGGGUUGUAUGCUGUUUCCCAUAGAUUUGAGGCUUUCCUAAAAAAAAGGUUGACGCACAAGCAGUGACUGUUGGAUGGCCAUCCAAUGGCCGUCGUGCUUCUUCAAUCUCUACUCUUCCUGCUCCAGCCGCUCAAACAGGCACCGGCGGGACUGCCUGCUCCCUCCUCCCCGCGGCCAGCUCUGCUACCGCGCAGGCCUCACCGCCCCACCGUACUCCCAUCGCUGGCCUAGCCAUCCCUCUACUCACCCACACCUGUUGUUAUUCUCCAGCGAUGGCAGAUGAACCAGUAAACCCUCGCACAGUCGUACUCCCCUCCGCGUGGGAAACAACUGUUGAGUCUUCCCUGCCUCCAUGUCGUUUCCUUCCUAGGCCUCGCCGUCGUCCACCGCCCUGGUGCUCUCGGCGCGGCCUGGUCAAUGUGGUCAAUGACCGACAUGCAUCUGAAGUGGACUGUAUGUGGAGAGGCCGACAGCUGGGUCCACGGCCGCACGCAAGGAAAUGCCUCCUUAUUACGCGCAAAAUAAUGAUUCCUCCACCUGACAUCAGGGACCCACCGAAAGGGCCACUGUAUUUCAUGAAAAACAUUACCGCCGCUGACAGCUCGGACCCACCAGCUAUAUCUUCGCACGCAAGGAAGUGCCUCCUUAUUACGCUAAAAAAAUUGAAUACCCCCUGCUAGCUGGGACCCACCUUGGUGGGAGGCUGACUUGUGGGCCUACUAAGUUGACGGGGACGGAGGGCUUUGUCAACUUAGUCAAUAUGCACGAUUCUAGCUCCAGUGAUCGUACGAUGUCCAUCCAACGGCCGUAGUGCUUCUUCAACCUCUGGUCCUCUUGCUCCAGCCGCCCAAACCAGCGCCGGUCGUGCCUCGUGCUCCUGCCUCCCAUGGCCGGCUGCGAUGCGGCGGAGGCCUCACCGCCCCCUACUACUCCCACUGCUAGCCAGGUCAUCCCUCUACUCACCCACACCCCCUGUUAUUCUGCUGCGACUGCAGCCUCACACUGCAGCGAACCAAUGAACCCUCGUACUCCUCUACGCGUGGGCAUCCACUGCCGCGUCUUCCCCGGCUCUGUGUCGUCCCCUUCCUAGGCCUCGCCGUCGUCCACCGCCCUGGUGCUCUCGGCGCGGCGUGAUCAACGUGGUCAAGGAACGGCUUCCAUCGGACGUGGACUGUAUGUGGAGAGGCUGACAGCUGGGUCCACGACCGCAGCAAGGAAGUGCCUCCUUAUUACGUGCAAAAUAAUUAUUCCUCCACCUGACAGCGGGACCCACCGGACGGGCCACCGUAUUUUGCGAAAAAAACGUUUCCCCUGACUGCUGGGACCCACCAGAUACAUCUUCACACGCAAGGAAGUGCGUCCAGGCAAAAAAAUGAUUCGCCCCCUGACUGCAGGCAAGGAAGUGCCUGACAGUCGAGACCGACCAGCUACAUCUUCGCAGGCAAGGAAGUGCCUGACAGUCGGGACCCACCUGGUCGAAGCGUACGUAGUGUUGUCAUUCUGGUCGUGAACGUGUACGUACAUACUGGUCGAUGUAGAGGCGCGCGUGUCAUAGUAGAGGUGCGCACGUGUCGUAGUAGAGGCGCGCACGUAGCAUUUACACGUACGUACAGCGGCCAGGGUGCAAGAAAGAAAAUACGGCCACGUAUGUGUACAUAUGGGCAGGGUCUCGAACGCCUACUCGCGCAUACGUACAGCCAGGGCUCGUGUACAUGGCUGGGUCGGAACGGAGAAACAGUGUCGUCAUCAUGUUCGUGGGGAGGCAAUGGAAUGCGUCGUGUUCAUGGGGAGGCAACGGAAUGCGUCGUGUUCAUCGGGAGGGCUUGGACGGAACCGGCGAUGGAAACGAGGCCUGGCGUACCGCAGAACUGGGGAAACGGCCUUGUGUUCGACCGGCCAUGUUCGAAACGGGAUCAUGUUCAUCGGGAGGGGUCUGGCAUACCGCAAAACAGAGGAAACGGACCUCCUAUGGUCGAAACGGGGGUCCUGUUGAUCGGGAGGGGUGUGGUGUACCGCAAAAUGGAGGAAACGGACUUGUGUUGGAGCGCUACGGUCGAAACGGGGGUCCUGUUCAUCGGGAGGGGUGUGGCAUACCACAAAACGGGACUCCACGGGAUACUGUUCAUCUCCACCGUCGACCUCCUCCAGCCUCCAUGGGCUCCUGUUCAUCUAGCCUCCACCGUGCACUACUCCACCGGCUACUGUUCAACCACCCCUCCACUCUACUGUUCAUCCAGCCCUCCACACCACGGGAUCCUGUUCAACCACCCCUNNNNNNNNNNNNNNNNNNNNNNNNNNNNNNNNNNNNNNNNNNNNNNNNNNNNNNNNNNNNNNNNNNNNNNNNNNNNNNNNNNNNNNNNNNNNNNNNNNNNNNNNNNNNNNNNNNNNNNNNNNNNNNNNNNNNNNNNNNNNNNNNNNNNNNNNNNNNNNNNNNNNNNNNNNNNNNNNNNNNNNNNNNNNNNNNNNNNNNNNNNNNNNNNNNNNNNNNNNNNNNNNNNNNNNNNNNNNNNNNNNNNNNNNNNNNNNNNNNNNNNNNNNNNNNNNNNNNNNNNNNNNNNNNNNNNNNNNNNNNNNNNNNNNNNNNNNNNNNNNNNNNNNNNNNNNNNNNNNNNNNNNNNNNNNNNNNNNNNNNNNNNNNNNNNNNNNNNNNNNNNNNNNNNNNNNNNNNNNNNNNNNNNNNNNNNNNNNNNNNNNNNNNNNNNNNNNNNNNNNNNNNNNNNNNNNNNNNNNNNNNNNNCAUCCCAUCUAUCGGCUUCAGUUAGCAGCAGUAGCGAAGGAAUCGCUCGAUCGGGUUCAGUUAACAGCCAUCGAUCGAUCGCUCGGGUUCAGUAAUGCGUAGCCUGCAGUGCAAUCGCUCGUGUUCAGUUAGAGCCCAAUGCCUCGCUCGGCUUCAGUUAGAGCCAAUGCCUCGCGCACACGCGCAUACAUGUAUGAGAGAAACGCGCAUCGCUCGGCCCCCAACCUCCCACCGUAACCGGGAACUCCCCGAAAUUUUCCUCUCCCUCGCUUCUACCAUGGUUUUUUCCGUCAUGGACAGCCCAAAGAGUGUCAUGCAGCUGCAUCUCUGGCCCGCCCAGGACGAAAAGCCCAUUUUCUGUCAUGAUUUUUUGUCAUAGAAGUAGGAGCCCACCACAUCUAUGAUGAUAUCGGGUUUUGUCACAAUUAUCGUCAUAGAAGUGUCAUAUGUAUGACAAAAAAAUUCCUUCGGCCCAAAAUGUCAUGGCUGUGUCUUUUUUUGUAGUGCAAUCAUGAGAGAUUCUGAAGAGGAAGAGGAAGAAGAUGCUGCACCAGCACCCAAAGCUCAGAAGCUUAUGGGUGAUGCCAUCAGGGCAGGGGCUGUUCCAUCUAAGCCUAAGACUGCUCCUAAGGCUGCUGCUCUAGCUCCAAAGCCAAAACCAAAGAGGAGCACCAGGAACAUCCCUACUGAGGAGAAGAACAAGGCCCCAGUGCCUGAUGCUGAAAUGGAAGAAGAAGAUGAUGAGUCACGUGUCUUGAGGAAGUUGAAGCCAAAAAUUCCAGAUCACAAUGAUGCUCAUCCAGUAGCUGAAAACAUGAAGAUAAGGAAGGACUCGGGAUUGAGGCUAUGGAGAGAGUCAGAUCCAUAUGCCACCAGAAGGAGAACUGUUGUGGACUACAGGUUCCAUACAAUGGAACAAUAGGACUUCUAUGAGACAUUGUUGCUUGACAAGAAGCCCAUAGUGUGUGACAUGAGAUGGGUCGACUGGGAGUAGAUCAGGGAGAAUGAUGAACACUAUCCAGGUGUAUAUGACAGUUUCAAGGCUUGUGGAGUUGAUGAGUUUGUGGCUCAGAAGCUCGCAAAAUGGAAUGAUGAGCUCAUCAUGCAGUUCUACUCCAUAGCUCACUUCUAACCAGAUGGAAGGAUUGUCUGGAUGUCUGAAGGCACUAGGUACCAGUCAACGGUUGCUGAAUGGGCGAAAUUGAUCAAUGCUCCAAAAGAGAGUGAAGGUGACUUGGAUGUCUAUGCCAAGAAGAAGAAGGAUCAUAACACCAUGGCACACAUGUACAAGGAGAUCCCAGAUGCUGCUCUUGAGACACACAAGUUUGGAUCUGUACAUUACCUUCUAUCAGGCUUGCCAACUAUCAACUGGAUCCUCAGGCACACUCUCUUGCCAAAGUCAGGUGAUCACAAGAUGAUCAGAGGCCAUGCAAUUAACUUGCUUCACAUCUUUGAUGUCCCACAGAAGUUCAAAGUCAUGAGCCUAAUAGUUGAAACUAUCAAGAGGACAGCUGCAGAUCAGAAGAGGAGUUGUGGGUAUGCCCCACAGAUCCAGGAGCUGAUUAACUCCAAGAUGGGCACUGGCACAUAUCUGCUAGACAAGGAGCACCUGCCCAUCUACCUAGAAUUUGAGGACAACACUGUGGUGAUGGAUGAAAAUGAACCAUCUUCUGUGCACGCACAAGCAAAGAAGGAGAAGGAGAAGGCUAAAAAGGCUGCAAGGAUGCCAACUACUGAAGAAGCAUCUCAGUAUCUUCUGAAGAGCAAGCAAGAUCAGCUUGGCUACUUGAUUGCCUCCACUCUGAGGAUUGAGAAGGGAUUGGCCACCCUGACUCUAAACCAGGAGAGCCUGGAAAGGAUCGUGGAACAGAAGUUCUAUGACUUGGAUGUGAAGGUAACUGAGAUCCAGUCUGUUGUGGAGCAACUUUAGGAUGAUAUGCAGGAGAGGAAGGGAAAGACAACCACUGAUGCAUUUGCCAGAGUGACUAGAGCUCAGAGGUCUGCUGCAGUGCCUGUUCCAGACACCAGAGCCACUUCAUCUGCACUAGCGACAGCUUCAGUGCCACCAGCUCCAGCACCUACUCCAUCAGCUCCAUCUACUUCGACUGAAGCCUUCGUUCCUGGAGUUAUCCGGACACCACCACCUGAAGACCAAGCCUGAGAGACGAUUUAGUGCUAUGCAUUUUCUAGGAACUUUUUGGUAACUUGUUGCCAAAGGGGGAGAAAAAUGUAUAGAUCAUAGGCUUCAAGAGAGAGCGUUGCUUUUUAUUCUCUCUUGCUUUGGUGGUUGAAGUUUAUUUGCUUGUUUGAGAUACUUUCUGUCUGCGUGAUACUUGGAUGAUCAUGUGUUUGAUCAUAUGCUACUUUAAUGCUUGUUGGAUGACAUUAUCUUUUUAUCCCUAUAUGAUCAUUCGCUUUGCUUGGUGAUGAGUGCAUGUAUUUAAUUAUUAUCAUUUUGAGCACUCCACCAAGAUGUAUGUGACCUGGAAGAGUAACCCAUGAGCCUAACUCUUUAUGCAUUUGCAUUCCAAAGCAAAUCAUAAACUAUGCACAAAUUUAGGGGGAGCUCUUGCUUUUCACAUACUUCUCAAAGCGACAAUGUUUUUCACUCUUAUUAUCAUUCAUCGAAGCUUUGAUCUAUAUGUUGUCAUCAAUUACCAAAAAGGGGGAGAUUGAAAGUGCAACUAUCCCUAGGUAGUUUUGGUAAUUCCUAACAACAUAUAGCCCAUUGAGCUAAUGCUAUUCCAAGAUUAAUAUUUCAGGAAAAGCUCAAUGAAUGGCAUGGCAUGGAUGAGGAAAGUGGAUGCCUCAAAAUAUUAAGGACAAAAAGAUUGGCUCAAGCUCAAAGCUCAAGACUCUACAUUUUAUAUUUUAGUGAUCCAAGAUCACAUUGAGUCUAUAGGAAAAGCCAAUGCUAUCAAGGAGGGAUGAGGUGUUUCUUAAUGGCGUUCUUGCUUCAUAGUGCUUAGUGGUAUGCUCCAAAACCCUCAACUACCUUCCCACAUCCACAUAUGACCUAAACCAAAAGUCAAACUCGGCCCCACCGAUUCUUUCUAUCCGGCGCCACCGAGUUCAGAUGUCAUAGCCACUGCCACAAACCCUAGGAAAAUCGGUCUCACCAAUAGGGAUCUCGGUCACACCGAGAUGGGGUUGUAAUCUCUCUGUUUCCCUUCAUAACGUUUCGGUCCUACCGAGAUGAGCGAUCGGUCCCACCGAGAUUGCAAUGUAAACUCUCUGUUUCCCUUUUGUAACAUUUUGGUCCCACCGAAAUGAGAAAAUCGGUCCCACCGAGUUUACCUGACCAACUCUCUGGUUAGCUUAUUACCAAAAUCGGUCCCACCGAGUUUGUGUAAUCGGUCACACCGAGAUUACGUUAUGCCCUAACCCUAACCAUAUCGGUCCUACCGAGUUGCAUCUCAGUCCCACCGAAAAUCCUAACGGUUACUAGGUUUGCUAAAUCGGUCCGACCGAGUUUCUCAAUUCGGUCUCACCGAGAUUGGUAAAUUGUGUGUAACGGUUAGUUUUUGUGUGGAGGCUAUAUAUACCCCUCCACCCACUCUUGAUUCGUGGAGAGAGCCAUCAGAACAUACCUACACUUCCAAUACACAUUUUCUGAGAGAGAACCACCUACUCAUGUGUUGAGGCCAAGAUAUUCCAUUCCUACCAUAUGAAUCUUGAUCUCUAGCCUUCCCAAGUUGCUUUCCACUCAAAUCUUCUUUCCACCAAAUCCAUAUCCUGUGAGAGAGAGUUGAGUGUUGGGGAGACUAUCAUUUGAAGCACAAGAGCAAGGAGUUCAUAAUCAACACACCAUUUGUUACUUCUUGGAGAGUGGUGUCUCCUAGAUUGGCUAGGUGUCACUUGGGAGCCUCCGACAAAGAUUGUGGAGUUGAACCAAGGAGUAUGUAAGGGCAAGGAGAUCGCCUACUUCGUGAAGAUCUACCGCUAGUGAGGCAAGUCCUUCGUGGCCAUGAUGGGAUAGACAAGGUUGCUUCUUUGUGGACCCUUCGUGGGUGGAGCCCUCCGUGGACUCGCACAACCGUUACCCUCCGUGGGUUGAAGUCUCCAUCAAUGUGGAUGUACGAUAGCACCACCUAUCGGAACCACGACAAAACAUUUGUGUCUCCAAUUGCGUUUGAAUUUUCCAAACCCUUCCCUUUACAUUCUUGCAAAUUGCAUGCUUUACUUUCCACUGCUCAUAGACUCUUUGCAUGCUUGCUUGAAUUGUGUUAAGAUUGCUUGACUUGUGCUAAGAUAGCUAAAAUCUGCCAAAGACUAAAUUGGGAAAAUGAUAGAUUUUUAAUUGGUCAAGUAGUCUAAUCACCCCCCCCCCCUCUAGACAUACUUUCGAUCCUACACUUUUCUUCAACUUUAAUAGGUUCAACUACUUUUACUUCAAUGGGAGGAUGAUAUUUAAACCACUUCUCCUUAGGGAGAUCAACAUGAGUAGCAAAUGAUUCACAAAAAGAAGCUACUAUCUCAGUGUCAAGUCCAUAUUUAGUUCUAAAUUCACGAAAAGCAUCGGUAUCCAUAAAAGAUUUAACACAAUCAAACUUAGGUGUUAUACUUGACUCCUUACCUUCGUCGAGUUCCCAAUCUUCAGAGUUGCAUUUAAUUCUUUCCAAUAAAUCCCAUCUUAAUUCAAUAGUCUUCAUCAUAAAAGAACCAGUACAAGAAGUAUCGAGCAUGGAGCGAUUACUGAGAGAAAGCCGAGCAUAAAAUUUUUGAAUAAUAAUUUCUCUUAAGAGCUCAUGAUUGGGGCAUGAAUAUAACAUUGAUUUAAGCCUCCCCCAAGCUUGAGCGAUACUUUCUUCUUCGCGAGGCCAAAAAUUAUAUAUAUAAUUACGAUCACGAUGAACCAGAUGCAUAGGAUAAAACUUCUGAUGAAAUUCCAAUUUCAAUCGGUUGUAGUUCCAUGAUCCAAUAUCAUCACAUAGCCUAAACCCUGUCAAUGCCUUUCCCUUCAAAUAUAAAGGGAAGACCUUCUUCUUGAUAACAUCCUCGGGCAUACCUGCAAGCUUAAAUAAUCCACAAACUUCAUCCACAUAGAUUAGGUGCAUAUCAGGAUGUAAUGUUCCAUCUCUUGUAAAAGGAUUAGCUAGCAGUUUCUCUAUCAUAUCCGAAGGAAUUUCAAAGUAAACAUUUUCAGUAGGUUCAGUAGCUUGAGGAGCAACUCUUUGCUCUACUAGUCGGGGUGAAGAUACCCCGAACAAGCCCCUCAAAGGAUUGUUUUCCAUAGUAACAAGUGAUAGUAAAUUUCCGCACACUAUAUAAAUUUUUCCUUACCAAAUUCCACUUACUAAAGGCGCUUCACUCCCCGGCAACGGCGCCAGAAAAGAGUCUUGAUGAACCACAAGUAUAGGGAUCUAUCAUAGUCCUUUCGAUAAGUAAGAGUGUCGAACCCCACGAGGAGCAGAAGGAAAUGACAAGCGGUUUUCGGUAAGGUAUUCUCUACAAGCACUGAAAUUAUCGGUAACAGAUAGUUUUGUGAUAAGGUAAUUCGUAACGGGUAACAAGUAAUAAAAGUAAACAAGGUGCAGCAAGGUGGCCCAAUCCCUUUUGUAGCAAAGGACAAGCCUGGAAAAACUCUUAUAUAAAGGAAAGCGCUCCCGAGGACACAUGGGAAUUAUCGUCAAGCUAAUUUUCAUCAUGCUCAUAUGAUUCGCGUUCGUUAUUUUGAUAAUUUGAUAUGUGGGUGGACCGGUGCUUGGGUACUGCCCUUCCUUGGACAAGCAUCCCACUUAUGAUUAACCCCUCUCGCAAGCAUCUGCAACUACAAAAGAAGAAUUAAGGUAAACCUAACCAUAGCAUGAAACAUAUGGAUCCAAAUCAGCCCCUUAGGAAGCAACGCAUAAACUAGGGUUUAAGCUUCUGUCACUCUAGCAACCCACCAUCUACUUAUUACUUCCCAAUGCCUUCCCCUAGGCCCAAAUAAUGGUGAAGUGUCAUGUAGUCGACGCUCACAUAACACCACUAGAGGAAAGACAACAUACAUCUCAUCAAAAUAUCGAACGAAUACCAAAUUCACAUGACUACUUAUAGCAAUACUUCUCCCAUGUCCUCGGGAACAAACAUAACUACUCACAAAUCAUAUUCAUGUUCAUAAUCAGAGGGGUAUUAAUAUGCAUAAAGGAUCUGAACAUAUAAUCUUCCACCGAAUAAACCAACUAGCAUCAACUACAAGGAGUAAUCAACACUACUAGCAACCCACAGGUACCAAUCUGAGGUUUUGAGACAAAGACCGGAUACAAGAGAUGAACUAGGGUUUGAGAGGAGAUGGUGCUGGUGAAGAUGUUGAUGGAGAUUGACUCCCUCCCGAUGAGAGGAUCGAUGGUGAUGACGAUGGUGACGAUUUCCCCCUCCCUGAGGGAUGUUUCCCCGGCAGAACAGCUCCACCGGAGCCCUAGAUUGGUUCCGCCAAGGUUCCGCCUCGAGACGAUGGCACUUCGUCCUGAAAGCUUCCUUCUUAUUUUUCCAGGGCAAAAGACACCUUAUAGCAAAAGAUGGGCAUCGGGGGCCUGCCUGGUGGCCCAUGAGGCAGGGGGCGCGCCCAGGGGGUAGGGCGUGCCCCCCACCCUCGUGGAUGGUGGCUGGCUCCCCUCUGGUGCUUUCUUCGCCCAAUAUUUUUAAUAUAUUCCAAAACUGACUUUCAUGGAGUUUCAGGACUUUUGGAGUUGUGCAGAAUAGGUCUCUAAUAUUUGCUCCUUUUCCAGCCCAGAAUUCCAGCUGUCGGCAUUCUCCCUCUUCAUGUAAACCUUGUAAAAUAAGAGAGAAAAGGCAUAAGUAUUGUGACAUAAUGUGUAAUAACAUCCCAUAAUGCAAUAAAUAUCGAUAUAAAAGCAUGAUGCAAAAUGGACAUAUCAAUGGGAGAAGUCUAUUGCUAGUAAUCAUGUGAAGUUGAAUACUGUUUAAUGUUUUGAUGAUAAUAUUAUGUUGUUCUUUCUCUAGUGGUGUCAUGUGAACGUCGACUACAUGACACUUCACCAUCAUAUGGCCUAGGAGAAGACAUUGUGGAAGUAGUUUGUAGAUGAUGGGAUGCGAGAGAAAUAGAAACCUAAACCCCAUCUUAUGAAUUAUUCCGCAAGGGACUGUUUUGGAUCCUUAUGUUUAAUGCUAUGGUUAAAUUUAUCUUAAUUACAUCUCUUGUAUUUGUGGAUGCUUGCAUGGAGGGUAUAGUCAUACAUAGAUAUUUGUUCAAAUAAGUACAAUACCUUAGCUCUGAUCCACCCACACAAGACUUAUCACAGCAAUGAACAGUAACUUAAUGAAUCGUGUUGAAAGUAACUUGACGUGAUUCCCGUGAAUCAUCAAGAGCGUUUUAAUCCCUAUAAGAAACACAACCGACUUGUCCUUAGCAUACAUAAGGAUUGAGCCGCUUGCUGCACUAUAUUGCUUUUGUUACUAUUUAUCUUGUUACUAAUUAUCUUGCUAUGAAGCAACCUAUCAAAUUAUCUUUGCAACAUUUGCAGUGAAACUUUGUUGAAAACUACUUGUCAAUUCCUUCUUCUCAUCGUUGGCUUCGACACUCACUUAUCGAAAAGGCUACAACUGAUCCCCUAUACUUGUGGGUCAUCAAGACUCUUUUUGGCGCCAUUGCCGGGGAGCGUACCACUCUUUGCUAAGUAUAAUUUGGUAAGAAAAACCUUUAUUGUACUUGUUGUUUUUCAUUUUUGUUUGUUCCUUUGCUUCACUAUGGAAGAUAAUCCCUUAAGAGGCUUAUUUGGAGUGACUUCCCCAUGUGAAGAAGUGGUGAGGGAGGAACCCCCACCUACUGAAAAUGUUUAUUUCAAAAUACCUAUUGCCAUCCUUGAGCAAGUAAGAGUUAACCGCUAUGCAGGAGAUGGAAAGAUUCAUCCUAAUAUGCAUUGGAUCGUUAUAAAAGAAUUAUGUGGUAUAUUCAAGCUUUUAGGUUUGCCAAAUAGGGAGGUUAAGAAGAAGAUAUUCCCUUGUCUUUGGUGGCAAAUGCAUUAGCAUGGUUCAAGCUAUUGGAUUAUCCGCAGUCAUGGAACUAGAAACAACUAAAAUCUGCCUUUCACUCAAAAUUCUAUCAUAUGCACUUGAUUCAUUGUAAAUGGAAUUUUAUCUAUAACUUUUGGCAUCAUUAAGGAGAAAGUAUGGUUCAAGCUUGAGGGAGGCUUAACUCAUUAAUUCCUAGAUGACGUAAUCAUGAGCUCUCUAUAGAAUUUUUUGUUCAUGAUUUUUAUGCAAGACUUUCUCUUUGCGAUAAAGAAAUGCUUGAUGCUUCUUCUGCUAGUUAUUUUACAAGUAAAUGUAUUGAUUACAAAUGGGAUCUUAUUGAAGGAUUCAAUGCAAUGCUAAACAUUGGGAAGUCAACCAAGGUAAAGAAUCAGGUAUAAAUCUUGAAUAUGAUUGUGUUAAGUCUUUCGUUGAAAUAGAUUUUUUUAAAGGACUUAGUGCUAAGUAUGGACUUGAUUCUCAAAUAGUUGCCAACUUCUAUAAAUCUUUUGCUGCUCAUAUUGAUCUCCCUAAGAAGAAAUAUUUAAAUAUCAUGAACCCAUUAAAUAUACUUGUAAACAAACUAUCAUUGCUAAUAAUGAAAGGGAUGAUCGGUUUUAUACCCUUAGUUGGGUACCACUCGUCAGGAUUGCACCUAGUUUUGGAAAACAUGCAGUCUUGCCCAACUCAGUUCGAUUAUCUUGUGCUUUUGCCCUUCCAGCACGGCUCCGUCCAGUCAGCGCCGUUUGACCGUAAGCGGCGCUAGAUUUUGGACAUUUUUUGCCCCUAUCGGUGCUACACUUAAUACCCUUUCGUCCUCAGUGAGCUCGCGCAAAAAACAGAGGAGCAAAGCAAAGCCGGCAAGGCGAGGCCUGGCGAGGAAGAGGAUGGAGCGGCACAGCACGGCGAGCUCGGGCUCCUCCAACUACUCGCAGAUGGCCAGUGAGGUAAGUGAACAUCAGUGUGUGCCUUCCUCCACCCCCAGUUCGUUCUAGGGUUUCUAGGGUUUGUGAUAUUUGGGGGGAAAUUUUGAGUUUCCUUCCCUUCCAUUUGGUUUAGGUUGAUGGGGCUAAUAUUGUGCAGCUCGUCUCUGAGUUCUAUCUUCCCGAUGACACCUAUUGUGGAUUGGAGUAUCGUUCAAAGCAUCGUUACCCUGGUCACAGCCUUGUUCCUGCCCGCCGUGUUUCCUGGGGAGGGGCAAGCACUGGCCUCUGGUUUUUACGGUGUCCUUUAGAUGUAAAUUUUGUGAAUUUGAGCAUAUAUUAGUUAUUUUUUAUGAAACAUCAAAUGUUUGGUUAAUGUGAUGUGCAAUCAGUUACCACAGGGGUGUCGGUGGGUGGUUUGGGUUUAUCCUCCUCCUCCAUUGCGAGUUGCCCUGGCUUUUGAAGACCUGCAUGUAGAGGUAGAACAGAGCUGGAUCAAAAGUCACAAUUUCAAGAAGGAAAACCUUGAGUUGUCAAGGAAGAAUCGUGUUUUGAAGAAGAAGCUAAGAGGAAGAGAUGAGAUGAUGCUUCUUUUAGCAUUGUUGUUUGUAGGAAUUUGUGUUAUAUUGUUGUUUGUGUUGCAGUUGUAUCAGUCUACUUAGUAUGAUGUAUUUGAAGAUAAUGAUGCACUGUUGUGGUCAAGAUGAAACAUCUUAUUUUGUUUCUGCAAACUAGAUGUUUAGUUGUUCUUGACUUUCAUUAACACUUGGAGUUCCAGGAGCAGUAAGGGUGUCACUUGCUACCCUACGUCUACUGCCAGCCCUAGUUCUAGACCUUGUCCCUCCAACAGUGGGAUUAAAACAAGAUGGCUUAGAUGUAGAGGGCCUAGAAGUAGAUGGGUUGUCAAACCUGUGUGCUCUAGUUCUCUGUAUCACUGUGAUUUCUAAAUUGCAUGGCAUAGUUUCUGCAUUUGUUGCAAACAUCACACCUAACUCUGGAUCACACUAUACAGGGACCCAACAAAGAUUGCUACUAUCCCAAUAUCUCAUCUCAACAGCAUCAAACAAUCCCCAUGGAUACUUGGCACAAAUGACAGCCCUAAAAUCCUGGUAUGUAGUAGUGUUCUCCACAAACAAUGGAAAUGUGAAGCCACAAUCUUUUCCUUUAGUACCCGCAAAAACUAGAACAGUGGUCUCCAUUCUAAUAGAAAGAUAGAACGCGAUCGCUGGAUUCAUCCUAUGAUAAAAAACAUGACAUCUCCCGUGAAAAAGGAACAAAACCGAGCCUAAAGCAUCGUGGAAUCAAUCCUACAGCAGUGAACACGAGCAGAUCUAGGUCUGAUACUUACCCCGCAGGAAUUUCCCGUGCGGAUCCGCUGCCCUUGUCGUCGUGGGCACCGCCACCGUUGCCUUGUUCGUGCUCCCGUGCAUAUCCGCUGCCCUUGUCGCCGUGGAUGCCGCCACCGUCGCCUUUUCCACGCUCCCAUGCAGAUCCUCUGCCCUUGUUGUUGUGGACGCCGCCACCGUCGCCUUGCCCGUGCUCCCGUGUAGAUCCGCUGCCCUUGUUGUUGUGGACGCCGCCACCGCCGCCUUGUCUACGCUCCCGUGCAGAUCCGCUACCCUUGUCUCCAUUGGCUCCACCAACACCGCCGCCUUCUCCGCGCUCAAGUGAAGAUGUGGUGUCCCUACGGCGGCGGCCGCGGCCGCCGACGCUUUCUUCGGUCUCCCCCAUCGCCUGGCAAUGGAUCUGGCAGUGCGGAUUUCGCUGCCGCCAAGCGAGCUAGGGUUGGUGAGAGAGAAAUAGAGAUAGUGGGAAUGGUUAGGUCGACCGGGGGGCAAGCAAUGUCCAAAAUCUAGCGCUACUUACGAUCAAAUGGUGCUGACUGGACAGAGUCGUGCUGGAAGGGCAAAAACACAAGGCAAGCAAACUGAGUUGGGCAAGACCGCGUGUUUUACAAAACUACGGGUAUCCUGUCGACGGUGACACAACUAAGGGCACAAAUACAAUUAUUCCAUAAUGAAAUACAAGUUCAUACUAUUAAUCUUGUUUCACCUACUUUUUAUAUUAAGAAAGCAUAUUUUCCUGUUAGGAUUGAGGAGCACUCUAUGGUAACAAUGAUGGUUACUAAAAGCUAUAUUAGAGCAUCUAAACAUUAUUCUGAACAAAUUAAAUUUAAACCUCAAAUAGCCAUGGCUAAAGAUCUUGUAGCUGGAAAUGUUGACGGACAUGUUAUUCAAUUCUGUGACCAAGCCUCUAACGUUGUUAUGGAGAACAAAAUUGCUAGGGUUGUUGGCAUGCCUGUUAUUCGGCUAAGAUUGGCGAUCACUGUUAUCAUGAUUUAUGUGACAUGGGUGCUAGUGUAAGUGUCGUUCGUUUUUCUCUAUAUCAAGAGGUUAUACAUUUCACCUUAUGAGAUGGAAGAUAUUGAUAUUACUAUUAAACUUGCAAAUACAUAUACUAUCUCACCUCUAGGGAUUGUUAGGAUGUUGAAGUUCUUUGUGAAAAAACUAAGUAUCCUACUAAUUUCUUAGUACUUGGUUCUAAACAAGAUAACUUUUAUCCCAUAAUCUUUGAUAGACCCUUCUUGAAUACUACUAGUAUUGUUAUUGAUUGCAUAAAAGAAAAAGUUACUGUUAAGUUUGAUGGAGAAUCUCAUGAAUUUGAUUUUUCUAUAUGUAAGUUGUAGUGUCUCGCUUAGAUUCUUGCAACUUUACCACUUAUCCCUUCCAUACCUAAUGUAUUGUUAGUGUUAGUACCCUUGGUAAUGAGACUUGAGGAGUACACAAUGUACUCUUGCUACAACAAACACUUACAGAUAUGGUGAUGGACGGUGUUAGCUUGGUUGCUUUCGGGUAGCAGUCUAAGCAGGGAUAUGGACGUCAUUUUCUUUACUUUGAGCCUUCUUAAGGCAAUUGUUGUUCUUUACCUGUCUAAGAUUUAUUCGCUUCCAUUGCAUGAGUUGGAUCUUUGUCGAAAGGCCCUGGUUACUAAAUAUUUGUAAUCUGGGUUGUGAUACCAGCGCUUCAUCACAUGGCAUGCACAGUUUUCACAUGUACGUUGUGUGAAAGUGGGGGUGUUGGAACUGAUAUUAUGCGGAGGUUAGCGGAAGUUGCUAGAUCUACAUUGUGUCGGUUCACGGGCGCUACAUUGACUGCCUAAAUUUUUUCCCAUGAUAUUCUUGUUUCAUUUUAUUUUCUAUUUUUAUUUCCUUUGAACACCCUCAGAUUAAAUAUAUGAACUUGAGUGAAGGUAGUUUUGUUUUUAUCCGAAUUCAAGCGAUACUCAUCUUUAAACUUUAGUGACUUUUUUAACUUCAACGAUACAAGUGAACAUUUUUAUUUUUAUAAAUAAUCUCAGUUUUAAAUGUAACAUUUGCGAUACAAAAUCGUAAUCGUGUAUAAGUACUUUGGAACAUGAAUCUAUGUCAACAAAUUUAUGUAACACAAAGUAUAUAAGAGUAGUUUUCUUUAUGCCAACAACUUUAUGAAUCAAUGUCCUAAUGAAGCCUAAAUAUGGUGAGUAUUUUGAAACAAAUAGAGUACGAACAAGGGUUAGGUCAAACUCUACAAGUGUUAUUCUCCUCAAUGGUGUGUGCUUUCUUGUGCGGGUAAGCAGGUCGCUCAGAUGCAUUGUUUCUGCAAGCUUGUUGUAAUGGUUUUUGCUUGGUUUUUCGUUAAUUAACCAGGCAACCCUCUUCUUCUUUAUUAAUGAACCAAAAUCCUUUGAGGCCUAUUUCAAGAAGAAGAAAAUCUACGAGCUUUGAUGAUAUGAAAUUUGUAACAUAUUUUAGAUUAAACAUAGAGAAAUCAUAUAUGUUCGAUUCUUGCAAAGUAAUUUCAUAAUAUAAAAAAUUUCUAAAUUAGUACUAAUAUAUUAUUAUACCCAAUUUUGAGCUCAACUUUAGUUAUGAAAUUAGGUAAUGAACUGUGAGUUACCAUAAAAAAGAAUAGUACUCCCUCCGACCCCAUUUAAUUCACACGACCCCUUCACAUGUCCAUUCACCAUUAACACUGACAUUGCGACAGUUAAUUAGGACUAGAGGGAGUAAUAUAUUUUUUGUGGCAUGCCUAAUUCAAGAUCAAAGUUCACCUCCAGAUUCAAAACUAGGUAAGGUCCAAAUUAAUGAAGAAGAAAGUGAAAGCUUCAAACCUAAGAGGGUUUUAAGACAUUGUGAUCCUUUAUCUUCAUAUUUGUUUUUAUUAUGAACGGAGGGUCUUACUGAUCUUUUGGUGCAUGGGAAGGAGAGUGAAAAUAUUUCUGGAGCGGAGGUGUGUAGAGAUGCCCCCACUAUUACCAAUCUCCUUUUUGUUGAUGACUCAUUUAUCCUCAUGAAAGCUAAUACUCUCGGAGUCUCUGAAACAAGUUUUGGAUCAGUAUUGUAUCACCUCGGGGCAUUUGGUGAGUGUUGAUAAAUCGAGUAUGGUUUUUAGUCCAAAUACGAGAGUGGAAACCAGAGAACAAAGUUGUUCCAUUCUGAAUAUUUUGACCGAGGCUCUCAAUGAAAAAUAUUUAGGUUUACUAGCUAAUGUGGGUUUAGAUAAGACCGACUGUUUUUAAUAUCUAAUCGAUCGUAUUAUAAAGAAAAUUAGUGGCUGGAAAGAAAAAUUAUUAUCCUCGGGAGGGAAGGAAAUUCUUCUCAAGUUUGUUGUCCAAGAUAUUCCUACAUAUGGUAUAUCUGUUCUUUAAAAUUCCUAAAAAAAUUGCAAAGAAAUUAUUGACAUGAUGUCGUAGUUUUGGUGGGGAGAUGAUCAAGACCAGAGCAGAAUGCAUUGGAUGUUUUGGUGGAGUGUGUCCCAAAAAAACAAAGGAUGUGUGUGUGUUUCUAUGAUAUCCAUUAUUUUAGUUUGGCUUUGUUGGCGAAACAGGCUUCGCGUCUUCUUAAGAACCCAGACUCUUUAUCCGUCACUUUUGAGAGCUAAGUAUUUUCCUGAUGGAGAUUCACUGAUGAGUUUAAAAUGAGAUCUUUUUUCUUGGCAAAGCAUUAUGGCGGGCGUAUUCUCUGAAAAAUGGUUAUAUCUAGCGAGUUGGUAAUGAUCGGUGUAUUUGAUAUUUAGGAAGAUGCUUGGAUCCCUAAUUGUGCUAACAGAAAAGUCAUCAACCCAAAAUGAAGUCAUUGCUAUCAAAGAUAUCAGAUUUCAUUGACUAUGUCUAGCAGUAGGGAUGAAGAUUUGGUAAGACAAACAUUGUGACCAAUUGAUGUACAACGGGUCCUUUCUAUUUGUCUUCCUCAACAUGACAUGCAAGACUUUGUUGCUUGGAUCUAUACCAAGAAUGAGUUUUUAUUUUUUCUGUUUGAUCUGCCUAUUUCGUCAAAUGGGAUCACCAACAUGGAGAGAAACUUCAAGGCACCAAUGGAAUGGGUCGAACCAAUUUUAAUCCCAUUUGAUGCAAGAUUUGGAAAUUAUCUUGUCUGGCGAAGGUUAAAAUAUUUAUUUGCCGGACAUUACACGACACUCUUCCAUGUUGUGUUACGCUCGCCAAUAGAUAUCUGAAAAUUUCGCCCCUUUGCCCAUCUUGUUCUUCUGGUCUAGAAGAUACAAAACAUUUGUUGUUUCAAUGCCAGAAAGCCAAGGAGGUUUGGAGAAGGCUGAGAUUGGACAAAAUUACUGAGAACUUGUGAAGUUGACCGUGCUGGUGAUGUUGUCCUGGAAUUUUUACUUCACUUGCGAGAUCAAGAUUUAUCUGUCAUGGGCCUCCAGAAUACGCGUGAGCUGAUUGCCAUCACUGCUUAAUAUUUGUGCAUAAGGAGAAGAUUCAGGAUACUAUCCAGAUUGCUAUGGUGAUUCUUGUUCUCAUGGCUAAUUAUUUUCAUGCUUCUCCAAAUAUUUCUAUUGGUUUGUGUGUGUGUGUGUGGGGNNNNNNNNNNNNNNNNNNNNNNNNNNNNNNNNNNNNNNNNNNNNNNNNNNNNNNNNNNNNNNNNNNNNNNNNNNNNNNNNNNNNNNNNNNNNNNNNNNNNNNNNNNNNNNNNNNNNNNNNNNNNNNNNNNNNNNNNNNNNNNNNNNNNNNNNNNNNNNNNNNNNNNNNNNNNNNNNNNNNNNNNNNNNNNNNNNNNNNNNNNNNNNNNNNNNNNNNNNNNNNNNNNNNNNNNNNNNNNNNNNNNNNNNNNNNNNNNNNNNNNNNNNNNNNNNNNNNNNNNNNNNNNNNNNNNNNNNNNNNNNNNNNNNNNNNNNNNNNNNNNNNNNNNNNNNNNNNNUCAUUACAGGGAAACUGGAGAGUAGAUUGGAGUAGAUUGGAAGCUUUGGCGCUUAGGUUCGGUCUAUGCCUUGCUCAAAGGGCAGGGUGCAUUCGUCUGGUUAUUAACUCUUGAUGAUUUGAAGGUGAUUGACACAAUGAAAAAUGGAGGGCCGUCGUUGGGUGCGGCGGUGUUUGACGAUUGUUAUUAUUUGGCUUCUCAUUAUCAUCUUUCUUGUAUUGAAGGUGAUUGACACAAUGAAAAAUGGAGGGCGUCGUUGGGUGCGGCGGUGUUUGACGAUUGUUAUUAUUUGGCUUCUCAUUAUCAUCUUUCUUGUAUUGAUUUUUGUAGUAGAGAAGUGCAUGAGCUUGCUAGGUUGGCUAGAUUUUCUCCAACAUGGAUUGAGGAGCCUUUGAAUGAAACUGUUAUUUCAAGUGAAUAAAGGCUAGGUUUUUUUUAUAAAAAAAAGGUAGUUGCAAGUAAUCAACAAUUGUUUCAAGUGAAUAAAGGCUAGGUUUUUUAAAAAAAAAGGUAGUGGCAAGUAAUCAACAAUCGUGAUCAAGAUUAUGUUCUGGAUCAGCUCCUGAGAACUUGAGAGAUUAUUAUAUCACCGAAUGGGUAUGCAAGUGUUGAGCCAUACUAAAUCACUUAAUUGCCAUCUAAGUGAAUUCAUUCAUAACUUUCUGUGAGGGCUCGGCAAACACAACAUUCACAGAAUUAUAAUGCAUGAUGAAUACCUGUGUAAAUGAAUAUCCUGUUGAUGCUGUUAUAUGUCCAGUUGAAACACAUUCCAAGAAAUUUUACAUUUGUGAUGAUAAGCAGAUUUAACACACUUUAAAAAGGGAAAGAAAACAGAACACCGUACGGGCUAACAAAUGGGGCCGCAGAUAAUUUUUCCUGAUACAACUGCAUAUUUGAAUUCUUUGUGCCGCCUUGCUGGCUUUGUAGUCA